GAAUAGGAACAGGAACUUUCCUUCCACCUCGAGUACAGUUUUGAUGUGAUAAUUCAUUGCAAGACAGUUUCAUUUAGAUUUUUUUUACUUAUUUUUGGUGUUGGAGCUUAGUGUGGUUUCCUGUUAUCUUAAGAUUAUUGAGAAGCUGCAAUAAAAAGUCAAAAAUGUAGUGAUAAGAAGGUGGCGGAGCAAGAAAUUGGACGAUGGUUGAGGAGAGCCGGGGAUCGCUUAAAAACUUUCAAGGAAAAGGAAUCAGAAUAAAAAUUGAAUUUAUUUAUUUUUUAAAUAAUAAAGAUAUAUUCAGCUA